rnacentral:rRNA from 1 species
GACGAACCGUGCGAACGUUGUUCGGAAUCACUGGCUUAAAGGGCGCGUAGGCGGGCCACCAAGUCUGGGGUGAAAGCCCCGGCUCAACCGGGAAUUGCCUGAGAUACUGGUGGUCUGGAGGGAGGUAGGGCAGCGGAACUUCCGGUGGAGCGGUGAAAUGCGUUGAUAUCGGAAGGAACGCCGGUGGCGAAGCGCGCUGCUGGACCUCUUCUGACGCUGAGGCGCGAAAGCUAGGGAGCGAACGGG